UACGGAGGGGGCGAGCGUUAUUCGGAAUUAUUGGGCGGAAAGGGCGCGUAGGCGGCCUGAUAAGUCAAAGGUGAAAUCCCUCGGCUCAACUGAGGAAUUGCCUUUGAAACUGUCAGGCUUGAGGCCGGGAGGGGGUGGCGGAAUUCCCAGUGUAGCGGUGAAAUGCGUAGAUAUUGGGAGGAACACCAGUGGCGAAGGCGGCCACCUGGACCGGUUCUGACGCUGAUGCGCGAAAGCGUGGGGAGCAAACAGG
rnacentral:rRNA from 1 species